rnacentral:misc_RNA from 1 species
GAUGAAGAACGUAGCGAAAUGCGAUAAGUAAUGUGAAUUGCAGAAUUCAGUGAAUCAUCGAGUUUUUGAACGCAUAUUGCGCCCUCUGGUAUUCCGGGGGGCAUGCCUGUUCGAGCGUCAUUAAAUAACCCUCAAGCAUAGCUUGGUGUUGGGCUUUUUUACGUCCUUGACUGGGAUGGGCCUAAAAAUUAGUGGCGAUGGCUUUUUUACUUUCAAGCGUAGUAAAUCUCGUCUUGCUAAAGAGGAAAAAGAUUUUUUUUCUGCCAAAAAUUUUAACAUUUAAAGUUGACCUCGGAUCAGGUAGGAUUACCCGCUGAACUUAAGCAUAUCAUAAGCGGAGGA